rnacentral:lncRNA from 1 species
AACUUAAUCUAUAGGAAUAUUCUACCAGUAAAUAUUUAUGAUAAUGGCCGGGAUUCGAACUCAUGCUACUGAGAUAUUGUGGCACCAAAACACCUCGCACUGUGCCUGACUUAAAUAUAUAUAUAUAUAUAUGUAUAAUCCUAUGAAUUGUCAAAAAAUUGUAUGGUCAGUUUCCUUUUAAUAUUUACAUAAAAAUUUUUCUACAGCAAC